rnacentral:rRNA from 1 species
CAGUCGCCGCGGGAAUACGGAGGAUCCAAGCGUUAUCCGGAAUCAUUGGGUUUAAAGGGUCCGUAGGCGGUCUUGUAAGUCAGUGGUGAAAGCCCAUCGCUCAACGGUGGAACGGCCAUUGAUACUGCAGGACUUGAAUUAUUGGGAAGUAACUAGAAUAUGUAGUGUAGCGGUGAAAUGCUUAGAGAUUACAUGGAAUACCAAUUGCGAAGGCAGGUUACUACCAAUUGAUUGACGCUGAUGGACGAAAGCGUGGGUAGCGAACAGGAUUAGAUACCCGUGUAGUCCCUGUCUCUUAUAC